CUGCUUUGCUAAGAACUUCUCUGCCUGGUCAAAAGAAGAACGUGGUAACACGAGGACUGGAUGUUCCGCUGAUCUAGAUUCAUCAUUUGGUCACCUGCACCAUCCGUAAAGGAAGACUGUGUUCUCUACAGCACACUUCGAAAACUGGACAUGUGAAAAUAAACCAGGAAGAUAUCUUGCUUCAUAAACUGUGGACCAAUGCUGGUUAUUCAAUGUAAAUUUGGACAUUUAUUUUAAUGUGUGAGCAUUUCCUGUGUUUUUUCUUGAACUUUAAACAGCAAAUUGUCUGCAAAGUAAUCCUCAAGCAGUAUGAACCAAACAUUUCCUUCACUGGAUGAUACAUUUAAGAGUAUUUAUUAAAACCAGUGAACAUAAACUCUCCUCAUGAACUCAGGUCACAUAACUGUGCCUUUGUCACAUGACCAGGAUGACUGUGGUUACUGGAUUCUGCAAAGAUGUACUCAGAAUGGAUCAUUCCUUUGGCAUUCUAUCAACAUUUACAUGCAUAUCAGCUCAUGUCUUCAUUGUGUACACAAAGUAUUAUCAUGAUGUUGGUGACUGAAAGCCAUUGUCAUUGCUGAAUGUAUUCGUUGGCCAAAUAUACUGGAGAAUUGAGCUUUAUAUAUAAUUCAAUUUUUUAAAUUUUUUUAUUAAUACUUUUAUAACAUUUACAUUACUAUGACAUUCUUGUGCACGUUUUGUGAUUAUAUUGUGCUUAUUACUGAACUGAUCCCAUCUAGAAUAUAAAUUCACAUAAGGUGAAUGUGUUAUUCACAUUCUUAGUGUUUUUUGUAUUGCUAAAUGUUAGAAUUCAGAGCAUACCUUGAAUUUUUUUAAACAAUCAUUUAAUGAAACAAACAAAAUAAACCUAUACUUGAACAAUUUUGUAAGUAAACCGUGUACUGUAGGUGUUACCCCCUGGGUUCUGCUGAUGGAAUAGAACAUGUGCAGGAAAAGCACUAAACAGGUACUUU